CGGCGGACGGGUGAGUAACACGUGGAUAACCUACCUAUAAGACUGGGAUAACUUCGGGAAACCGGAGCUAAUACCGGAUAAUAUUUUGAACCGCAUGGUUCAAAAGUGAAAGACGGUCUUGCUGUCACUUAUAGAUGGAUCCGCGCUGCAUUGGCUAGUUGGUAAGGUAACGGCUUACCAAGGCAACGAUGCAUAGCCGACCUGAGAGGGUGACCGGCCACACUGGAACUGAGACACGGUCCAG
rnacentral:rRNA from 1 species